GGGAGGAACUACAACUAUGACGGCCUGGCUGCAUCAGGUUCUGGACCUGGUUUUUGCAAAUUCUUAGACUUCCGUUCUACCCUCUGUAACCAAGACCUCUUACCUUGUGACCCAGAACAUACGUGUGUGCACACACACGAAGCCAAAGGCUGUGGAGAUCAGACUCCCCUACCGAUGAGGACAUGAGGACGUGCGGGAGGAAUUGAGUUCCUUCCUCAGUCAUGUCUCACCUUGACUGAUCCUUCUCAAAAACAGCAUUUGAAACCGGCUCCCGAGACUCUUAGGACAAGUCCUCCCUUCCGGCUGCUGCUGGGUUGCCAGCCCCAUAAUGUCCAAGCUACCGCUUUCUGCCUACUGCUGGAAGUUCACAGUCACUGGACGCUUUCAGCAGGCACAUGAUUACACAGCAAGGCAGAUGGAUCACAGCCAGAGUCCCUCUGCUGCCUGACACGUGAGCAGCGAGUGGCCCGCCCGGCCGGUACUUGGUGUGGAGCUGCCUGACGACACUGGUGACAGAGCAGCACCUGACAGUCUGGGCUCAGGGGUCUCCUCUUGCUCUCCACCACACAGCCUCGUCCUUGCAGGUAGUUCUAAGGCAGGACGAGCUGGAUCCUUCCGGGUUGGGGAACGGGGAGCAAGUAUAAAAUUUAUUUUGGCUCGAAUACAGAACUGGCGUUUGCUCU